rnacentral:rRNA from 2 species
UGGCUCAGGACGAACGCUGGCGGCGUGCCUAAUACAUGCAAGUCGAGCGAACUAAUGGGAGCUUGCUCCCAAAGGUUAGCGGCGGACGGGUGAGUAACACGUGGGCAACCUGCCCUGUAGAUCGGGAUAACAUCGAGAAAUCGGUGCUAAUACCGGAUAAUUUCUAGAAUCUCAUGGUUCUAGAAUAAAAGAUGGCUCCGGCUAUCACUACGGGAUGGGCCCGCGGCGCAUUAGCUAGUUGGUAAGGUAACGGCUUACCAAGGCGACGAUGCGUAGCCGACCUGAGAGGGUGAUCGGCCACACUGGGACUGAGACACGGCCCAGACUCCUACGGGAGGCAGCAGUAGGGAAUCUUCCGCAAUGGACGAAAGUCUGACGGAGCAACGCCGCGUGAGUGAUGAAGGAUUUCGGUUCGUAAAGCUCUGUUGUUAGGGAAGAACAAGUGCCGUUCAAAUAGGGCGGCACCU